rnacentral:rRNA from 1 species
UGGGGAAUUUUGGGCAAUGGGCGAAAGCCUGACCCAGCAACGCCGCGUGUGGGAUGAAGGCUCUAGGGUCGUAAACCACUGUCGGGAGGGAAGAAAGGCCCCGGGGGGAACAUUCCCGGGGAUUGACGGUACCUCCAGAGGAAGCGCCGGCUAACUCCGUGCCAGCAGCCGCGGUAAUACGGAGGGCGCAAGCGUUGUUCGGAAUUACUGGGCGUAAAGCGCGUGUAGGCGGUUCGGCAAGUCGGAUGUGAAAUCCCCGGGCUCAACCCGGGAACUGCAUCCGAAACUUCCGAGCUGGAGUCCCGGAGGGGAAGGCAGAAUUCCCAAUGUAGGGGUGAAAUCCGUAGAUAUUGGGAGGAAUACCAGCGGCGAAGGCGGCCUUCUGGACGGUGACUGACGCUGAGACGCGAAAGCGUGGGGAGCAAACAGG